rnacentral:rRNA from 1 species
UACGUAGGGUGCUAGCGUUGUUCGGAAUCAUUGGGCGUAAAGCGCGUGUAGGUGGUUAGUUAAGUCGGGUGUGAAAUCCCUGGGCUCAACCGAGGAAGUGCAUCCGAAACUGCAUCGCUGGAGUCUGGGAGAGGAAGGUGGAAUGCUUGGUGUAGAGGUGAAAUUCGUAGAUAUCAAGCAGAACACCUGCGGCGAAGGCGGCCUUCUGGACGAUGACUGACGCUGAGACGCGAAAGCGUGGGGAGCAAACAGG